rnacentral:rRNA from 1 species
UAGGGAAUCUUCCGCAAUGGGCGAAAGCCUGACGGAGCAACGCCGCGUGAGUGAUGAAGGUCUUCGGAUCGUAAAACUCUGUUAUUAGGGAAGAACAAAUGUGUAAGUAACUAUGCACGUCUUGACGGUACCUAAUCAGAAAGCCACGGCUAACUACGUGCCAGCAGCCGCGGUAAUACGUAGGUGGCAAGCGUUAUCCGGAAUUAUUGGGCGUAAAGCGCGCGUAGGCGGUUUUUUAAGUCUGAUGUGAAAGCCCACGGCUCAACCGUGGAGGGUCAUUGGAAACUGGAAAACUUGAGUGCAGAAGAGGAAAGUGGAAUUCCAUGUGUAGCGGUGAAAUGCGCAGAGAUAUGGAGGAACACCAGUGGCGAAGGCGGCUUUCUGGUCUGUAACUGACGCUGAUGUGCGAAAGCGUGGGGAUCAAACAGG